rfam:Asian citrus Psyllid, Diaphorina citri - Florida Strain, whole genome shotgun sequence.
GCCUCCGUGGCCGAGUGGGUAUCACACUAGGCUUGCACUCCGGAGGUCCCGGGUUCGAUUCCCGGCGGAGUCG